rnacentral:rRNA from 1 species
UUUAUGGAGAGUUUGAUCCUGGCUCAGGAUGAACGCUGGCGGCGUGCCUAAUACAUGCAAGUCGAGCGAACGGACGAGAAGCUUGCUUCUCUGAUGUUAGCGGCGGACGGGUGAGUAACACGUGGAUAACCUACCUAUAAGACUGGGAUAACUUCGGGAAACCGGAGCUAAUACCGGAUAAUAUUUUGAACCGCAUGGUUCAAAAGUGAAAGACGGUCUUGCUGUCACUUAUAGAUGGAUCCGCGCUGCAUUAGCUAGUUGGUAAGGUAACGGCUUACCAAGGCAACGAUGCAUAGCCGACCUGAGAGGGUGAUCGGCCACACUGGAACUGAGACACGGUCCAGACUCCUACGGGAGGCAGCAGUAGGGAAUCUUCCGCAAUGGGCGAAAGCCUGACGGAGCAACGCCGCGUGAGAGAUGAAGGUCUUCGGAUCGUAAAACUCUGUUAUUAGGGAAGAACAUAUGUGUAAGUAACUGUGCACAUCUUGACGGUACCUAAUCAGAAAGCCACGGCUAACUCAGUGACAGCAGCCGCGGUAAUACGUAGGUGGCAAGCGUUAUCCGGAAUUAUUGGGCGUAAAGCGCGCGUAGGCGGUUUUUUAAGUCUGAUGUGAAAGCCCACGGCUCAACCGUGGAGGGUCAUUGGAAACUGGAAAACUUGAGUGCAGAAGAGGAAAGUGGAAUUCCAUGUGUAGCGGUGAAAUGCGCAGAGAUAUGGAGGAACACCAGUGGCGAAGGCGACUUUCUGGUCUGUAACUGACGCUGAUGUGCGAAAGCGUGGGGAUCAAACAGGAUUAGAUACCCUGGUAGUCCACGCCGUAAAC